rnacentral:rRNA from 1 species
AGGUUACUUCGGUAACUGACCUAGCGGCGGACGGGUGAGUAAUGCUUAGGAAUCUGCCUAUUAGUGGGGGACAACAUUCCGAAAGGAAUGCUAAUACCGCAUACGUCCUACGGGGGAAAGCAGGGGAUCUUCGGACCUUGCGCUAAUAGAUGAGCCUAAGUCGGAUUAGCUAGUUGGUGGGGUAAAGGCCUACCAAGGCGACGAUCUGUAGCGGGUCUGAGAGGAUGAUCCGCCACACUGGGACUGAGACACGGCCCAGACUCCUACGGGAGGCAGCAGUGGGGAAUAUUGGACAAUGGGCGCAAGCCUGAUCCAGCCAUGCCGCGUGUGUGAAGAAGGCCUUUUGGUUGUAAAGCACUUUAAGCGAGGAGGAGGCUCCUUUAGUUAAUACCUAAAGAGAGUGGACGUUACUCGCAGAAUAAGCACCGGCUAACUCUGUGCCAGCAGCCGCGGUAAUACAGAGGGUGCGAGCGUUAAUCGGAUUUACUGGGCGUAAAGCGUGCGUAGGCGGCUUUUUAAGUCGGAUGUGAAAUCCCUGAGCUUAACUUAGAAUUGCAUUCGAUACUGGAAAGCUAGAGUAUGGGAGAGGAUGGUAGAAUUCCACGUGUAGCGGUGAAAUGCGUAGAGAUCUGGAGGAAUACCGAUGGCGAAGCAGCCAUCUGGGCCUAAUACUGACGCUGAGAUACGAAAGCAUGGGGAGCAAACAGGAUUAGAUACCCUGGUAGUCCAUGCCGUAAACGAUGUCUACUAGCCGUUGGGGCCUUUGAGGCUUUAGUGGCGCAGCU